rnacentral:lncRNA from 1 species
GAAGAAUUAGGCUUCAGAAGGCUGUUCCCAGUUGUGUUACACUUUGACUUCUGUUUCCAGUCGUUAAUAUUCUUACUUUAAUUCUGAGGAAAUUGCAUGAGAUUUUUCCAACUUUUACCUGAGGAAACGAGCCUCAGAGCUCCCCGCUGGGCCUGUUGAAGGUCCCUCCCUGUUCUGGGUCAAGCCCACCUGUAUGGUGUAGCAGACAGAGGUCCUGACUUCAUGCCAGAUAACUUUCUUCCUGGAAUUCUUGCAAUAACAGGGUAGUUUAGUACACUUUUUGUUUGCUGUUUAGGUUUAUUAUGUAGAAAAGAAGCUUGGUAAACCGAGUGGCUGGACAGAACAUUAAGACAGAUGGGUGCCAAUCGUGGCAAAUGUGACCUUUGAGACAGAGGAUAAGAACCGCCAGUUGCAGGAGCGCCUGGAGCUGGUGGAGACGCUGCAGCAGACGCUGCUGAGGGCGGAGACGCUGCCCGAGGUGGAGGCCGAGCUGGCGCAGAAGGUGGCCGCGCUCUCCAAGCACCUCUGCUGUCCGUCCCAGGUAGGCUUUGUAGUUCGACCUUUUGUCUUCCGGAAGGUCUGCCACUAAGGAGGCUAAACGGUUCGAAUUUACCUCCCAGCUUAGGAAGGCGGGAGAGACACGCAACAUCGAGGAGAGGCUGCGCCAGAUGGAGCCCCAACUGGAGGAGAAGAACAAGGAGCUGCAGCGGGCAAGGCAGAGAGAAAAAAAUGAAUGAAGAACACAAUAAACGCUUAUCAGAUACCGUGGAUAAGCUUCUGUCCGAAUCAGAUGAGAAGCUUCAGCUUCAUCUGAAGGAGAGAAUGGCUGCUCUGGAGAAUAAGGCACAGUGCACACAGGAACUUGCUUCUGCCACUAAUGAUGAAGUCAAUCUGAGGGACAGAUAUUUGUAUCCUGGAUGCACCAGGCUCUUCCAUGCAACUGACUGG